rnacentral:rRNA from 1 species
UACGGGGGGAGCAAGCGUUGUUCGGAUUUACUGGGCGUAAAGGGCGCGUAGGCGGCCACUGCAAGUCAGUUGUGAAAUCUCCGGGCUUAACCCGGAAAGGUCGACUGAUACUGCAGGGCUAGAGUGCAGAAGGGGCAACUGGAAUUCUCGGUGUAGCGGUGAAAUGCGUAGAUAUCGAGAGGAACACCUGCGGCGAAGGCGGGUUGCUGGGCUGACACUGACGCUGAGGCGCGAAAGCCAGGGGAGCGAACGGG